UACGUAGGGGGCAAGCGUUAUCCGGAAUUACUGGGUGUAAAGGGAGCGUAGACGGUAAUGUAAGUCUGGAGUGAAAGGCGGGGGCCCAACCCCCGGACUGCUCUGGAAACUAUGUUACUAGAGUGCAGGAGAGGAGAGUGGAACUCCAUGUGUAGCGGUGGAAUGCGUAGAUAUAUGGAAGAACACCAGUGGCGAAGGCGGAUGACUGGACGGCAACUGACGGUGAGGCGCGAAAGCGUGGGGAGCAAACAGG
rnacentral:rRNA from 1 species